rnacentral:sRNA from 1 species
CUGAAGUCAUUGCAAUUACUUCAAAUAUUUAAACCUGUUUUGGUUGAAUGACUUUUAACUUAAUAUUCUCACUUGCCAAUGAAAACCAUUUCUCCUGAGUACUUUUUGAUCUGGGAACAUGUUUUCCUAAUCUCAUAUUGAUCCACUUACAAAUGCUGAAUCUAUGAAUUUUUAAAAUUUGUUUCUAUUCCAGAUCACUAGAGAAAUUGAUGCACUUACAUUUCAGUGCUUUCAGAAUUUUGUCUUCUUUUCCAGUUAUUUAUAAUUCACUUGUUCAUGUGUUUGCUUUACAAAGGUGGGCAAUGGCAGAAGGUUAUGGGGCUUGCUUAAUAAACAAGCCAGAGCUUGUUCGAGACAUGGUGAAACAAGUAAGAAAUCAAGUGGAAACCCCUGGAUUUUCAAUUUCUAUUAAAAUAAGGAUCCAUGAUGACCUUAAAAGAACUGUAGAUCUUUGUCGAAAGGCUGAAGCAACAGGAGUUUCCUGGAUUACAGUCCAUGGAAGAACUGCUGAAGAAAGACAUCAGCCGGUGCACUAUGAAUCCAUUAAAAUAAUUAAGGAAAAUAUGUCUAUACCUGUAAUUGCUAAUGGAGACAUCAGAAGCUUAAAGGAAGCAGAAAAUGUGUGGCGGAUUACUGGGACAGAUGGUGUGAUGGUUGCAAGAGGACUCUUAGCAAACCCGGCCAUGUUUGCUGGAUAUGAGGAAACCCCACUGAAAUGCAUCUGGGACUGGGUUGACAUUGCUCUUGAACUCGGGACUCCUUACAUGUGUUUCCAUCAACAUUUAAUGUACAUGAUGGAAAAGAUAACUUCAAGGCAGGAAAAAAGGGUAUUUAAUGCUCUGUCAAGCACAUCAGCAAUCAUAGAUUACCUUACAGACCAUUAUGGCAUUUGACUAGACUUCCCAAAUAAUUUUAAUAUAUACUUUUAGACCCAUAGUGAAACUACAGAAGGUCAUAUUUUGUACCUUAAACCAGUAGCUCUCAAAUUU